GGGCCCGCACAAGUAGUGGAGCAUGUGGUUUAAUUCGAAGAUACGCGCAGAACCUUACCUGGCCUUGACAUGCAUCUCUAAGUGUGUGAAAGCACAUGACCCCUCGGGGAAUUUGCACAGGUGCUGCAUGGCUGUCGUCAGCUCGUGUCGUGAGAUGUUGGGUUAAGUCCCGCAACGAGCGCAACCCUUAUGUUUUGUUGCCACUUUCGCUUCGGCGGAAAGCACUCUAAACAGACUGCCUCGUCUCAACGAGGAGGAAGGUGGGAUGACGUCAAGUCAGUAUGGCCCUUACGGCCAGGGCUGCACACGUACUACAAUGCCCAGUACAAUGGGAAGCAAUACCGCGAGGUGGAGCAAAUCCUCAAAACUGGGCCCAGUUCAGAUUGUAGUCUGCAACUCGACUACAUGAAGUCGGAAUC
rnacentral:rRNA from 1 species